AUUGAACGCUGGCGGCAGGCCUAACACAUGCAAGUCGAACGAGUGGCGGACGGGUGAGUAAUGUCUGGGACUCUGCCUGAUGGAGGGGGAUCACUACUGGAAACGGUUGCUAAUACCGCAUACCAUCAGAUGUGCCCAGAUGGGAUUAGCUUGUUGGUGGGGUAACGGCUCACCAAGCCGACGAUCCCUAGCUGGUCUGAGAGGAUGACCAGCCGCACGGGAACUUAGACACGGUCCAGACGCCAACGGGAGGCAGCAUUGUGUAAUAUUGAACAAUGUGCGAAAGCCUGAUGCAGCCAUGCCGCGUGUAUGAAGAAGGCCUGCGGGGUGUAAAGUACUUUCAGCGGGGAGGCGUUACCCGCAGAAGAAGCACCGGCAAACUGCGUGCCAGCAGCCGCGGUAAUUC
rnacentral:rRNA from 1 species